AUUGUCUGCAUGACCUGGGGCCUCAGUUUCUCAGCAGACCUGAGGACGCCGGGGCGGGGCGUGAGCUUGGGGCCCAGCUGGGGACACAGACACCACCAGCCAGCGCGGGAGUCAGACAGACAAAGGCUGUGAUGAUCCCGCGGGGCUGCACCGGACAAUGACGCAGGAAGGCUCCAGGGACCAGAUUCCAAAAGCACAAGUGGAGUAAGUGAGAGCAGGCACCAGGUGACCUUCGC